rnacentral:rRNA from 1 species
AGAGUUCGAUCCUGGCUCAGGAUGAACGCUGGCGGCGUGCCUAACACAUGCAAGUCGAACGAGAUGCGUAUCGGAAAGCUUCGGCCGGAAGAUACGUUAUCUAGUGGCGGACGGGUGAGUAACACGUGGGUAACCUGCCUUAUGGAGGGGGAUAACAGAGAGAAAUCACUGCUAAUACCGCAUAAGCACACAGUACCGCAUGGUACAGGGUGAAAAGAUUUAUCGCCAUAAGAUGGACCCGCGUCUGAUUAGCCAGUUGGCAGGGUAAAAGCCUACCAAAGCAACGAUCAGUAGCCGAUCUGAGAGGAUGACCGGCCACAUUGGGACUGAGACACGGCCCAAACUCCUACGGGAGGCAGCAGUGGGGAAUAUUGGACAAUGGGGGCAACCCUGAUCCAGCGACGCCGCGUGAGUGAAGAAGUAUUUCGGUAUGUAAAGCUCUAUCAGCAGGGAAGAAAAUGACGGUACCUGACUAAGAAGCCCCGGCUAACUACGUGCCAGCAGCCGCGGUAAUACGUAGGGGGCAAGCGUUAUCCGGAUUUACUGGGUGUAAAGGGAGCGUAGACGGAAUGGCAAGUCUGAAGUGAAAUACCCGGGCUCAACCUGGGAACUGCUUUGGAAACUGUUGUUCUAGAGUGUUGGAGAGGUAAGUGGAAUUCCUGGUGUAGCGGUGAAAUGCGUAGAUAUCAGGAAGAACACCGGAGGCGAAGGCGGCUUACUGGACAAUAACUGACGUUGAGGCUCGAAAGCGUGGGGAUCAAACAGGAUUAGAUACCCUGGUAGUCCACGCUGUAAACGAUGAAUACUAGGUGUCGGGGAGCAAAGCUUCUCGGUGCCGUCGCAAACGCAAUAAGUAUUCCACCUGGGGAGUACGUUCGCAAGAAUGAAACUCAAAGGAAUUGACGGGGACCCGCACAAGCGGUGGAGCAUGUGGUUUAAUUCGAAGCAACGCGAAGAACCUUACCAAAUCUUGACAUCCUUCUGACCGCACCGUAAUGGGUGCUUUCCUUCGGGACAGGAGUGACAGGUGGUGCAUGGUUGUCGUCAGCUCGUGUCGUGAGAUGUUGGGUUAAGUCC